rnacentral:rRNA from 1 species
GAGUUAUGGCUCAGGAUGAACGCUGGCGGCGUGCCUAAUACAUGCAAGUCGAACGAGGUAGCAAUACCGAGUGGCGAACGGGUGAGUAACACGUAGGUAACCUGCCCUUAAGCUUGGGAUACCCAGAGGAAACUUGGCUCAUACCGGAUAACAACAGAGAAGGCAUCUUCUUUGCUUGAAAGGCCCUUCAAGGGUCACUUAAGGAUGGACCUGCGGCGCAUUAGCUAGUUGGUGAGAUAACAGCCCACCAAGGCGAGGAUGCGUAGCCGAACUGAGAGGUUGAUCGGCCACAUUGGAACUGAGACACGGUCCAAACUCCUACGGGAGGCAGCAGUAAGGAGUUUUCGGCAAUGGGGGAAACCCUGACCGAGCAACGCCGCGUGAGCGAUGACGGUCCUUUGGAAUUGUAAAGCUCUGUUGUAAGCCAUGAAUGACAGCUUGAGGAAAUGCAAGUUGUUUGACGACAGCUUACCAGAAAGCCACGGCUAACUACGUGCCAGCCGCAGC